UAGUAAUGGCAGGUCAGCAUACUGCCGUGAAUACGUUCCCGGGCCGUUGUACACACCGCCCGUCACACCAUGAGAGUUGGGAAUACCCGAAGCCUGUGAGCUAACUUUUAGAGGCAGCAGUCGAAGGUAGAAUCAAUGAUUGGGGUGAAGUCGUAACAAGGUAUC
rnacentral:rRNA from 1 species